UUUGAAGCAAUAAGAGACUUGCAAGGCAUCUGUGCAAGGAAGCAGUACAAUAAGGUUCAAGUCUGUAAUGCUGGAGUACUGCCAUUGCUCGUUAAGUUUCUGGAAUACAAAGACAGAGAUGUUAGAUGUGCAGUGCUGGAAUUAUUACGAGAAUUGGCAGAUGAUGAUGAUGGAAAGGUUCAACUUCUUUUUUAUCCUGUGACUUUAUGGAAACUACCCUAUAUGAAUGGAUAAGAAAUGGAGCAAAAUUUAACCUCAAUUAUCAUUCAUUUGCUUGGUAUAAGGCUUUGAUAUUAGCUGUGCAUCUGCCUCUAAGGAACACAACUGCAAUCUAACAGCACAGUUGAUCAAACAUUAGCUGCAAAACUCUGAAACAUAUAACAGAAAUAUAUAUAGAGAGGCUCCUAAAAUCUUCUUAAUGAUCACAUAAUAAGCUUUAUCCUAUCUGUAGAUUUUGAUAUUUAUCUGCACAGGAGAAUCAACUCCUUAUCUGAAACAAGUAAUUGAAAUCCAUGGCAACAAAAUUUUAAAUGUUAGAUUUUGUUUCUUUUACAGGAAAUGAUUGCUAAAAUGGCUGACAUUUCAACAGUAAUCAAGAUGUUGUCAAGUGGCCACCAGCCCAUUAGGCAUGCAGCAUUGUUGUUAUUACUUGAGCUCUCUAGGUCCCAAGCAUUGUGCCAAAAAAUUGGAUCAGUUCCUGGUGGGGUUCUGAUGCUGAUUAGGUGUAAAUACCAUCAUUCUGUUGAUGCCUUCUCUUCAGAAAAGGCAGAUGAAAUCUUAAGGAACCUAGAAAAGUCACCGGAAAAUAUCAAGCACAUGGCAGAAAAUGGACUCUUGGAACCCCUUCUCAGUCAUCUUAUUGAAGGUAACCUCCAAACUUCAACUUAGUUGACAGUGACUGCAUUACAUCACCGAAGAUGAUUAACAGCUUUUUUUUUAAAGGAAAUUUAGUAGUUAGUAGUCAUUGAAGUAGUUAAUGACAAGAAUUACAUAUGUGCUCUUUAAUCACAAUAUCUUGAUCGAAGUCCAAAAUAUAACAGGUUCUGAGGAGAUCCAGAUGGAAAUGGCGAGCUACCUCGGAGAAAUUGCCCUUGGAAAUGACAGCAAGACCUACGUUGCUGAGAAGGCUUCUCCAACUCUCAUUCAAAUGGUGCACAGGGGGAACACUUU
rnacentral:lncRNA from 1 species